rnacentral:lncRNA from 10 species
UUUGCAUUUACAAUUCCUGCAGUAAACAACAUGCAGCCUGUUUUCAUUGUUUUACAGAUGGGUCUAGUAAUGGUAAAUCUUCUUAUUCUGGAUCAAAAGUCUGCAGAUGUGGAACCUGACUCCUGCGAGAAGUAGCUCACCAUGACAAAGCUGCCUUUGCUUUUAUCGAUUUGCAAAUCAGAGAAGGGGGACAUGUUGGGAGCAGGCCCCCCAAAAUCUGGCCAUAUACUGGCCUCAGAACUGGCCAUAAACAAAAUCUCUUUUGCACUGUAACAUGUUCAUAAUGGCCCUAACGCCCAAGCUGGAAGGUUGCAGGUUUACAGGAAUGAGGGCAAGGAACACCUGGCCCACCCAGGGCGGAAAACCACUUAAAGGCAUUCUUAAGCCACCAACAAUAGCUUGAGCGGUCUGUGCCUUAAGGACAUGCUCCUGCUGCAGUUAACUAGCCCAUCCUAUUCCUUUAAUUCAGCCCACCCUUCGUUUCCCAUAAGGGAUGCUUUUAGUUAAUCGAAUAUCUAUAGAAACAAUGCUAAUGACUG